ACAAGGAUACAAUUCUUACGC
rnacentral:siRNA from 1 species